GAUGAAGAACGUAGCGAAAUGCGAUACUUGGUGUGAAUUGCAGAAUCCCGUGAACCAUCGAGUCUUUGAACGCAAGUUGCGCCCGAAGCCAUUAGGCCGAGGGCACGCCUGCCUGGGCGUCUCACGUCGUUGCCCCCCCAUCUACUCCUUCGGGAUUGCGGGGGGCGGAUGAUGGCCUCCCGUGCGCCUCGUCGCGCGGUUGGCAUAAAUGCCAAGUCCUCGGCGACGCACGCCACGACAAUCGGUGGUUGCGAAACCUCGGUUGCCCGUCGUGUGCGGUCGUCGCGCAUCGAGGGCUCGAAAAAAUUGUCGGGCUCCGGCUCGGCUUUCAACGCGACCCCAGGUCAGGCGGGGUUACCCGCUGAAUUUAAGCAUAUCAAUAAGCGGAGGA
rnacentral:misc_RNA from 1 species